rnacentral:rRNA from 1 species
ACGAACGUUGGCGGCGUGCCUAAUACCUGCAAGUCGAACGCUUCUUUCCUCCCGAGUGCUUGCACUCAAUUGGAAAGAGGAGUGGCGGACGGGUGAGUAACACGUGGGUAACCUACCCAUCAGAGGGGGAUAACACUUGGAAACAGGUGCUAAUACCGCAUAACAGUUUAUGCCGCAUGGCAUAAGAGUGAAAGGCGCUUUCGGGUGUCGCUGAUGGAUGGACCCGCGGUGCAUUAGCUAGUUGGUGAGGUAACGGCUCACCAAGGCCACGAUGCAUAGCCGACCUGAGAGGGUGAUCGGCCACACUGGGACUGAGACACGGCCCAGACUCCUACGGGAGGCAGCAGUAGGGAAUCUUCGGCAAUGGACGAAAGUCUGACCGAGCAACGCCGCGUGAGUGAAGAAGGUUUUCGGAUCGUAAAACUCUGUUGUUAGAGAAGAACAAGGACGUUAGUAACUGAACGUCCCCUGACGGUAUCUAACCAGAAAGCCACGGCUAACUACGUG